rnacentral:rRNA from 1 species
UUUGUACGCUGGCGGAACGCCUAUCACUUGCAAGUCGACCGGAAGAGAGAAGCUUGCUUCUUUGAUAGCGGCGGACCGGUAAGGAAACCUUAGGAAUCGCCUGGUAGUGGGGGAUACGUUCGGACACGGACGCUAAACCCGUAUACGUCCUUCAGGAGAAAGCAGGGGACUUUCGGGCCUUCGCUUUCAGAUGAGCCUAGGUCCGAUUAGCUAGUUGGUGGGGUAAUGGCUCACCAAGGCGGCGAUCCGUAACUGGUCUGAAAGGAUGAUCAGUCACACUGGAACUGAGACACCGUCCAGACUCCUACGGGAGGCAGCAGUGGGGAAUAUUGGACAAUGGGCGAAAGCCUGAUCCAGCCCAUGCCGCGUGUGGGAAGAAGGUCUUCGGAUUGUAAAGCACUUUAAGUUGGGAGGAAGGGUUGUAGAUUAAUACUCUGCAAUUUUGACGUUACCGACAGAAUAAGCACCGGCUAACUCUGUGCCAGCAGCCGCGGUAAUACAGAGGGUGCAAGCGUUAAUCGGAAUUACUGGGCGUAAAGCGCGCGUAGGUGGUUUGUUAAGUUGGAUGUGAAAUCCCCGGGCUCAACCUGGGAACUGCAUCCAAAACUGACUGACUAGAGUAUGGUAGAGGGUGUGUGGAAUUUCCUGUGUAGCGGUGAAAUGCGUAGAUAUAGGAAGGAACACCAGUGGCGAAGGCGACCACCUGGACUGAUACUGACACUGAGGUGCGAAAGCGUGGGGAGCAAACAGGAUUAGAUACCCUGUAGUCCACUGCCGUAAACGAUGUCAACUAGCCGUUGGGAGCCUUGAGCUCUUAGUGGCGCAGCUAACGCAUAAGUUGACCGCCUGGGAGAGUACGGCCGCAAGGUUCAAAUCUCACAAUGAACUUGACGGGGGCCCGCACAAGCGGUGGAGCACUGUGGUCUUUAAUUCGAAGCAACGCGAAGCACCCUUACCAGGCCUUGACAUCACAAUGAGCUUUCCAGAGAUGGAUUGGUCCCUUCGGGAGCAUUGAGACAGGUGCUGCAUGGCUGUCGUCAGCUCGUGUCGUGAGAUGUUGGGUUAAGUCCCGUAACGAGCGCAACCCUUGUCCUUAGUUACCAGCACGUAAUGGUGGGCACUCUAAGGAGACUGCCGGUGACAAACCGGAGGAAGGUGGGGAUGACGUCAAGUCAUCAUGGCCCUUACGGCCUGGGCUACACACGUGCUACAAUGGUCGGUACAAAGGGUUGUCAAGCCGCGAGGUGGAGCUAAUCCCAGAAAACCGAUGGUAGUCCGGAUCGCAGUCUGAAACUCGACUGCGUAAAGUCUGAAUCGCUAGUAAUCGCGAGUAAAAAUGUCGCGGUGAAAACGUUCCGUAGACCGGGAUCCGGGACCGUCACACCAGGGGAGUGGGGUGGCAGAAGCAGCUGGUCUAUCCUUCCGUGCGACGGUUACCACGGUGUGAUUGAUGACUGGGGUGAAG